AUUGAACGCUGGCGGCAGGCUUAACACAUGCAAGUCGAGCGGAGAUGAGGUGCUUGCACCUUAUCUUAGCGGCGGACGGGUGAGUAAUGCUUAGGAAUCUGCCUAUUAGUGGGGGACAACAUUCCGAAAGGAAUGCUAAUACCGCAUACGUCCUACGGGAGAAAGCAGGGGAUCUUCGGACCUUGCGCUAAUAGAUGAGCCUAAGUCGGAUUAGCUAGUUGGGGGGGUAAAGGCCUACCAAGGCGACGAUCUGUAGCGGGUCUGAGAGGAUGAUCCGCCAAACUGGGACUGAGACACGGCCCAGACUCCUACGGGAGGCAGCAGUGGGGAAGAUUGGACAAGGGGGGGAACCCUGAUCCAGCCAUGCCGCGUGUGUGAAGAAGGCCUUAUGGUUGUAAAGCACUUUAAGCGAGGAGGAGGCUACUGAGACUAAUACUCUUGGAUAGUGGACGUUACUCGCAGAAUAAGCACCGGCUAACUCUGUGCCAGCCGCCGCGGUAA
rnacentral:rRNA from 1 species